GGGGUUGUGGCUCCAGUGGUAGAGUGCUCAUCUAGCACAUGCAAAGCCCUGGGUUCGAUCCUCAGCACCACA
rnacentral:tRNA from 1 species